rnacentral:rRNA from 1 species
UCCGACCUCAGAUCGGACGAGAUUACCCGCUGAAUUUAAGCAUAUCACUAAGCGGAGGAAAAGAAACUAACAAGGAUUCCCUCAGUAACGGCGAGUGAAGCGGGAUGAGCCCAGCACCGAAUCCCCCAGCAUGUCGCUGGCGGGAACUGUGGUGUAUGGGACGCCACCUGUCGAAUGCACCGGUGUCCGAAGUCCUCCUGAUCGGGGCCUCUCCCAGAGUGGGUGUCAGGCCUUUACAGGCCGCUGGUGCGUCGGCUGCGAGCGUCUCCGGAGUCGGGUUGUUUGGGAAUGCA